UUUGGUUUACCAUUCUUUCCGUUUUCUAAGGGUUGGAGCUCCAAGUCCCCACGAAAGCAUAAUUUAGCCAAGUCUUCUCUUGCCUUUUCAUUAUCCUUUGUUUUGUCCUUAACAUUCAUGACAGUAUUAAAUAUAUUAUCGAAGACGUUUUUUUCUAUGUGCAUCACAUCGAGGUUAUGCCUUAACAAAUUAUCCUUCCAAUAUGGGAGAUCCCAAAAAAUACUUCGCUUUUUCCAAUUGUGAUCCACUCCAUACCCUUCG
rnacentral:lncRNA from 1 species